GGGGUGUGACUUCCGGGUUAAUAUGGCCACCGCCUCAGAGCCAAGCGUCGGUAUUCUUAGGGUGCAAGCGAGCUGAGAGGAGUCGCUCUGUUCGAGGGUUCGGCGAUGGCGCAGACCUCAUCCGGGCCGUGGAUUCUGGAAGCCGCUCCCUUCUUCGUGGUCGUCCUCAUGGUCGCGCAUGUUUCCGCUUUGGUUUAUUGGAUCUACAGGCUGGCCUCCGAUAGACCACCCCCCCGGACUAAGACGCAGUAGGAAGGAUCUUCUCAUCUCUUUGAACGAUUGCAUCGCCCCUAAAGGCUUGAGACAUAAUGGUGAUAUGAGGCUGAAUACAGAGAGGUCCUUUCUUUGACACCAUGCAACUCAAAUAAAGAAAGCUACUGCAGCUUUCCUAUGCAAAAGAUUGUCUUCACUCUUUUGAAGUGCCUUUUCCUGUGUAACAAUUAAUUUUGCUCUCUGAGUGGAUAAAGCAAAUAUUCAAACUGUCACAGAAUGAUUGUCUAGUAGGUUUAGUGUGUAAUUUCAUAGCAAACAGAGUUUGUUUAGCAUCAUCAGAUCUUUAAGUUAUUAUAGCAAAGAUAUUCUCUUA